AAGUCGUAACAAGGUUUCCGUAGGUGAACCUGCGGAAGGAUCAUUAUUGAAAUAAACCUGAUGGGUUGCUGCUGGCUCUCUAGGGAGCAUGUGCACGCCUUGUCAUCUUUAUAUCUCCACCUGUGCACUUUUUGUAGGCCUUUCCAGGUCUAUGUCGCUUCAUUAUACCCCAAUUGUAUGUCAAUAGAAUGUUGUGCCUAUAAUAAUUUAUACAACUUUCAGCAACGGAUCUCUUGGCUCUC
rnacentral:misc_RNA from 1 species